UCAAUAUAUAUAUAUAAAGUAGGAUGCGGGCGUCUCUAGAAUUGUUCGAUUCAGUCUUCUGAUUUUUCUUAAAUUUCGGAGAGAAAUUAUAAUUAUAAUUCAAAAAAUAAGGUUCAAGAAUUCUAAAAGUAAUACAACUCUUUUCUUAUUGAAUUCUAAAGAUGAUACAACUCUUUUCCUUUAUAUUUAAUAUUUCUUAUUGAAUUCUAAAGAUGAUACAAUUUUUUUCUUAUUUAGUAAUCCUAAAAAAAAUAGAAUUAUAUUUAAAAUAUCAGGUUUUAACCAAUAAAUAGGAAUCAUAAAAUAAAAAUAAUUAACAAAAAAAUAGGAUAUAUAAAAUAAAAAUCAUAUAUUGAUUUUAUACUAAUGUAAAUGAUUCUUGAGUAGUAUUGUGUUUGACGGGCACGGGAGGCGGCCCAAACUAAUUUUAUCUAAAUAAUAAUAAUUUUUCUAUUAGUAUUAUGUUUGAUAGGAGAGUGGCUAAUAUAAUUUUUAUCUAUGUUAUAAUGUUUUUUUUGUUAAAACGGCGGUUCAAAAUAAUUACAAAAUAAAUUAGGAUAUAUAAAAUAGGAAUCAUAUAUUGAUCUUAUAAUAAUGUAAAUGAUUCUUGAUUAGUAUUGUGUUUGACGGGCACGGGAGGCGGCCCAAACAAAUUUUUAUCUAAAUAAUAAUAAAUUUUCUAUUAGUAUUAUGUUUGACGGGAAAGUGGCUAAAAUAAUAUUAGUAUUAUGUUUGACGGGAAUUAUAAUUAUAAUUCAAAAAAUCAGAUUCAAGAAUUCUAAAAGUAAUACAACUAUUUCCUUAUCGAAUUCUAAAGAUGAUACAAUUCUUUUCUUAUUUAGUAUUUCUUAUUGAAUUCUA
rnacentral:lncRNA from 1 species